UCCACACUUUCACUCUCAAGUCUCACCGUCCAAAGCUCUCUCAAUCGUAACCUCUCACUGCACCAUCCAAAGCCAAACCCUAUCAAUCGUUCUUGUUCGUCAUUCAUUCAUUCACCGUCCAAGGGCUCUCCCUCUCUCUCUCUCUCAAGCGGAACCUCUCACCGUCACCGUCGAAGCUCACUCUCUCUCAAUCGGAACCUCUCACCGUCCAAGCGUUCUCUCUCUCUCUCUCUCUCAAUCGGAAGCUCUCUCUCCGUUCAGUUUGUUGUUACAUAUUUCAUCGGGAACAAACACAUGAGGCAGAAAAAAAAAUUGAAGCCUGCUGUUGGUCAACGAGAGUAUUCUUCAUCCACUAAAGUUUUAAUUCACUUCUUCACCUACUCAAUUCAGCUUAAUGUUUGAAGUUACUUCCAAUGGUACUACUACUAGAGAGUAGAGACAAGUCUGCAGUGUGUGACAUCUAGCAAAGUUCUCUAAGAAGUUCUUUUUUUUGAAGGAAAGUUCUCUAAGAAGUGCUGUUAUCUGGGAAUGAUGGCAUAUAUUGGAAUUUCUUAUUUUUUUCUUUGGUCCAUUGGUGAAGGGACAACAUCAUCUUCUAUGAAUUGAAGAGCUUUCAUAUUUAUAUACAAAUCAAUGAGGUUGACUAUUGCAAAAUAAAUCCAACUUCAGGCACUAAAGUCGAGUCGAGUUUUUUUUUGUCCGUUUGGUAUAAAAAACAACAAACAAAAAUGAAGUUCAUGAAACUUGGGACAAAGCCAGAUACUUUCUACACUGAACAAGCUACCAGGACAUUGACAUCAGAGAUACCCUCAUACCUUGUAAUACAGAUCAACGAUGUUACUUAUCUGCUACACAAGGGAUCCUUACUUGCACUUUGUAGAAUCUCCUGCAUUAGCUCCACCAGAAGUUCAAAUUGAUUUAGCUGUACACCAACUGUAAGCUUUCGUCAAACUCUUUUAGUCUUUAUCCUACAAUCAUUCAUCUUUGGCAUGAUAAAAUAUGUGGGUUGUAGCAUUGCAAAACUGUAAGUUAUGUUUGGUUUCAUGUUUGCAGCAGUUAGAAUUGAUUCCAACAAAGAAGUGAUUUUGAGGCUUGAUAAAUCUAAGAAAAUAUCUUCUUUUGUGCUUUUGUGUUGGUAGUGUCAUGUAUAUCUCUUGAUAAAUCUAAGAAAAUAUCUUCUUUUGUGCGUACUACACAUAAUCUAAGAUAUUUUGUUUGAUUUUGAAGGAACUCAUUAUUGAAAUUGUAAGCCCUAUGUUUGAAUUAGUUUCUUAACCAAAUUCUGCACUUGAAAUAACUUUUUCAAUUGAAUUUAAUUUCUUUUUUCUUAGCAGAUGAGAAAUGGUAGUGGAUAUAUUAAUGGUUGAGAUGAUAUUGUCCGAUGUUGUUGUGGCUAUGCUUGAUUGGGAUAUAUAUAUAGUUUGAUGAAUAUUAUGUCCGAAGAUGUUUUUAUUUUUUUUAAAAGAUUAUGCCCAAAGAUGUUGUCAUAGCUUUAUGUUGAAUUGUUGAUAUUACUAUAAUAUAACUUCUUUGAUUGUAUUUAUA